GGGGAAUUUUGGACAAUGGGCGAAAGCCUGAUCCAGCCAUGCCGCGUGAGUGAAGAAGGCCUUCGGGUUGUAAAGCUCUUUUAGUCGGAAAGAAAGAGUUGCAAUGAAUAAUUGUGAUUUAUGACGGUACCGACAGAAAAAGCACCGGCUAACUACGUGCCAGCAGCCGCGGUAAUACGUAGGGUGCGAGCGUUAAUCGGAAUUACUGGGCGUAAAGGGUGCGCAGGCGGUCUUGCAAGUCAGAUGUGAAAGCCCCGGGCUUAACCUGGGAAUUGCGUUUGAAACUACAAGACUAGAGUGCAGCAGAUGGGAGUGGAAUUCCAUGUGUAGCAGUGAAAUGCGUAGAGAUGUGGAAGAACACCGAUGGCGAAGGCAGCUCCCUGGGUUGACGCUGACGCUCAUGCACGAAAGCGUGGGGAGCAAACA
rnacentral:rRNA from 1 species